ACGGAAGGCAGCAGUGGGGAAUAUUGGGCAAUGGGCGAAAGCCUGACCCAGCAAUGCCGCGUGAAGGAAGAAGGUCUUCGGAUUGUAAACUUCUUUUAUGAGGGACGAAGGAAUUGACGGUACCUCAUGAAUAAGCCACGGCUAACUGCGCGCCAGCAGCCGCGGUAACACGUAGGUGGCAAGCGUUAUCCGGAUUUACUGGGUGUAAAGGGCGCGUAGGCGGGGAAGCAAGUCAGAUGUGAAAUCUAUGGGCUUAACUCAUAAACUGCAUUUGAAACUGUUUCUCUUGAGUGCUGGAGAGGUAGAUGGAAUUCCUAGUGUAGCGGUGAAAUGCGUAGAUAUUAGGAAGAACACCAGUGGCGAAGGCGAUCUACUGGACAGUAACUGACGCUGAGGCGCGAAAGCGUGGGGAGCAAACAGGAUUAGAUACCCUGGUA
rnacentral:rRNA from 1 species